AUGUACCACAAGGUGCACUCGUUCGGUCCAAGAUCUCGCCCUGAACAUUUGCAGUUGUACUUCUACGACGACGAUCCCAGCUUAAACCAUCGCAAGGAGGCCACCAAGCAAUUGGACCAGCACGUUGUCAGCAAGUUAGUGGACGUCCUCAGGGAAAACCCCUACUCCCAGCAGUUUAGGAGUUUGGGUGCCCAUAAGGAAAAUCUCGAGGAGUACCGGAUAGACCUCAACAUUGACCAGAAGCUAGACCAACGAAGAUAUAACAGACCCGUGUCAUCCGAGGUGGCUGCGAUUUGGGUCGAGGGAAGCGAUCUAGCAAACAGGUUCAACCGCAGCAUUACACUCUAUGGGGACAACAACGAGAAGUAUAGUAUACAUGCCACAGAUGGCUGUUAUGACCCGCUUUCGUAUCCCCUCUUUUUCCCAAGGGGGGAGCUUGGUUGGCAUCCAAAUAUCCCUAAGCACAAUGUC
rnacentral:rRNA from 1 species